ACAAUUUUUUUUUCACUUAUCUUACAUGUACAUGAUGUUCAAAAGAGAGUAUUUUUUGGCAGUGCUGAGUUUUGAACUUAGGGCCUCAUAUUCAGUUUGCUCUGCUGGUACUCUACCAGGAGUCACUCGUACCUCCAGCCUUGCUUUUUAAUGGUUAUUUUUAGAGAUGCAAUCUAACAGACUUUUAAUGCCUAAACUGACUUUGACCCCCUGAUCCUCGGAACAACAGCUUCCUGAGUAGCUAAAGUAAGCCACCAACAUCCAGCUUAGAUUAUUCUGAAAACCGAAAAUACUUUGCUAAGUGCUUAUUAUAUACAUCAACAACUUCACAUGGAAUAUCCUUUUUUUUAAAUCUCCCAUUCUCUGUUUUUUACUCCAUUAAGCUCCGUUUUAUAAGUGAAGAAAUGAGACAUACAGAAAUAAACUUGUCCUAAGCUUAUAAAACUUGUAAAAGGGGGAGGCUGGGAAUAUGGCCUAGUGGCAAGAGUGCCUGCCUCGUAU